UUGCCAGACUCCUACGGGAGGCAGCAGUGGGGGAUAUUGCACAAUGGGGGAAACCCUGAUGCAGCGACGCCGCGUGUGGGAAGACGGUCUUCUGGAUUGUAAACCACUGUCCCCAGGGACGAAAAUGACGGUACCUGGGGAGGAAGCUCCGGCUAACUGCGUGCCAGCAGCCGCGGUAAUACGUAGGGGGCAAGCGUUAUCCGGAUUCACUGGGUGUAAAGGGAGCGUAGACGGCGACGCAAGUCUGGAGUGAAAGCCCGGGGCCCAACCCCGGGACUGCUCUUGGAACUGCGUGGCUGGAGUGCAGGAGGGGCAGGCGGAAUUCCUGGUGUAGCGGUGAAAUGCGUAGAUAUCAGGAGGAACACCGGUGGCGAAGGCGGCCUGCUGGACUGCAACUGACGUUGAGGCCCGAAAGCGUGGGGAGCAAACAGGAUUAGAUACCCUAGUAU
rnacentral:rRNA from 1 species